GAUGAACGCUGGCGGCGUGGAUAAGGCAUGCAAGUCGAGGGGUAGAGGCUUUCGGGCCUUGAGACCGGCGCACGGGUGCGUAACGCGUAUGCAAUCUGCCUUGUACUGGGGGAUAGCCCAGAGAAAUUUGGAUUAAUACCCCAUAGUAUUUUCGGUUGGCAUCAACUGAUUAUUAAAGUUUUUCGGUACAAGAUGAGCAUGCGUCCCAUUAGCUAGUUGGUAUGGUAACGGCAUACCAAGGCUACGAUGGGUAGGGGUCCUGAGGGGGAGAUCCCCCACACUGGUACUGAGACACGGACCAGACUCCUACGGGAGGCAGCAGUGAGGAAUAUUGGUCAAUGGUCGCAAGACUGAACCAGCCAUGCCGCGUGCAGGAUGAAGCAUCUAUGGUGUGUAAACUGCUUUUGUACGGGAAGAAACGCUCCUACGUGUAGGGGCUUGACGGUACCGUAAGAAUAAGGAUCGGCUAACUCCGUGCCAGCCGCCGCGGUAA
rnacentral:rRNA from 1 species